AGUUAGGUGGCUGCUGGCUGAUGCAGUAGUGAGGACUCCUGUCUGAACCUGACAAGACUGGAUUGGACCAGAUGAGGGCUCAGCAAACCAGUGAAAAGUUUGUACAGGUGUGUCUUGAGGGUCAGCUGUCCUGACUUCCGUGGUGAUGAUGGGCAAAACCUGAAGACGGCUCAGCAAACCGGUUGAUUUGACAACACUGAAGGAACUGUACACUUUCCACAGACGUGACUCCGGAGACUGGACUGCAGCCUGGUGGGCAGCAAAACUAGCUGAAAGAAGAUUGGGGGAGUUCUACCAUCCAGGCACUUGCGACUACCAGGCACGAACAAGAGGAAAUAUAGACUAAGGUUAAUUGUUAGGUUCCUAAUUUAUCAUGUUUAUAAUACGUCAUUCCAUGAAUUUGAUCAAAUCAUUCAAACAAGGGUUGCACUUGAAUUUUUUAUUACACUGCACCAGAAACAUAUUUAAGGAAAAAAUACAGCAGGGUAGAUUUGAAUUUACUACUCAAGACAAAUGGUAAUUUGUUCAAAAUCUUGUUGUCAUUAUUCAAUAUUGUUUCCAGUUAAGACCAUGUUGAUUUCAUUAUAUGGAUGACAUCCGCAUACACAUCAAAUUUUGGCCAUUUACAAAAAUGAAAUAAAGUUUUCAACCAUACAGUAAAUCAUACAAAGCAGCUGCAAAAUGAGAAAACACAUGCCGAAGAUUGCAAGAAAUAAUAUCCGAAAACGGAAAUACUUAUGCCAUGAUCAUAGAAUGCCAAUGUUAAUUCCAAGGUCAGAAAGAAUAGAAAUGAAGAAUCUAUUCUUUAAAAUACCAAACAUACUCCAUGUGUUGAGUCAUUAUUUUGUUCAACCUUCCAGACAACUUAAAUUUCAUAUUGAAGACAGCUUUUUCUUAGGCCAAACAUUUUUAUUUUCACACUUAUUUUUUAUUUUCAGUUUGGAGGUUCCAAGGUUCCAAGAGGAUGUCAUCCGUAUAAUCAAAU